AUGGCCGUCUCCAAGGACGCCGCCGAUGACAUGAUGCGCGUGCUGUCCAUCUACGACGCGCGCUUGCUCCCCAUGUCCCCUCCGGCGGAGGGUGAAGCGGCCGGGGAGGCAUACGGAUGCGAUGAGAGGGAGGCGGAGGAGCAGGAGCAGGAGGAGGAGGCGUUUGCCGCCGCGGAGGACGUCAUCCGCCGGUGCAACUCCUCCUCGUCGUCGUCCGGUAUGAUUGAUUACCUGUACGCCGUCGACGACGCCCUCGCCGCGGCCGCGCUCCAGGGCGGCCUCGCCUCCCGCGCGGCCGAGGCCGUGCAGGCCGCCAUGCCGCGCCUGGAGGAGGAGGCGCGCGCGCUGCUCUGCUCCUCGUCCGCGCGGCGCCUCUCGCUCUCCUCGGACGACCUCGACGACGCGGCCUCGCCGCCCGACGCGUCGCCACGGCUCUCCCCGCGCGCGACCGCCUCCGUCCGCGGCGUCGCGGACCGCAUGCUGCGCGCCGGCUAUGGCCCGGAGCUCGCGCAGGUGUACGUCACCGCCCGCCGCGACGCCCUCGCGGAGGCCGUGGCGCACCAGCUGGGCGCCGCCGAGCCCGUGGCCAUCGAGGAGGUGUUGAGGAUGGAAUGGGCGGUGCUAGACCAGAAGAUGCGGCGGUGGAACCAUGCCAUCCGGGCCGUGGUCAGGACCCUCCUCGCCGGCGAGCGGCGGCUCUGCGACGAGGUCUUCGCGUCCGACGAGGAGCUCGGCCACGAGUGCUUCGCCGACGUCUCCAGGGGCUGCGUCCUGCAGCUGCUCGGCUUCGCGGACGCCGUCGCCAUGUCUGCGCGCGCCACCGAGAAGCUCUACCGCACGCUCGGCAUGUACGAGGCGCUCGCCGACGUCGCGCCGGAGCUCGAGGCCCUCUUCACCGGAGACGCGCGCGAGCUCUUCGCCGCCGAGGUCUCAGCCGUGGCCGCGCGGCUGGGCUCCACCCUGCGCCGCACGAUCGAGGAGUUCGGCAGCGCCAUCCAGGGCGAGUCGUCGAGGAGGCCCGUGCAGGGCGGGGAGAUCCACCCCAUGAACCGCUACGUGAUCAACUACUGCGGCCUCCUCGCGGACUGCCGCAGCACGCUGGACAUGAUCCUCGUCAACACCGCCGAUGCGGUCGACGGCGACGAAGCCACCGGCGGUGGCGGCGGCGCUACGUCGACGCCGUCAGGGCGGUGCAUGCUCGAGCUGCUGACCCGGCUGCUGAGCAAGAUGGACGAGAAGUCGUGCCUCUACGACGACGCCGGCCUGAAGCACAUAUUCCUCAUGAACAACCUCUACUACAUCGUGCAGAAGGUGAUGGACUCUCCGCUCCGGGAGCUGCUCGGCGACGACUGGAUCCGCCGGCACCGCGGCCAGAUCCGGCAGUACGAGACGGGCUACCUCCGGGCGUCGUGGAUCACCGUGCUAUCCGUCCUCAGGGACGACGGCGGCAGCGCGGCGCCGACGGUCAAGGACAAGGCGAGGAGCUUCAACGCGGCGUUCGAGGAGCUGUACCGGAACCAGACGGCGUGGAAAGUGAUCGACCCGCAGCUCCGGGAGGAGCUCCGCAUCGCCGUGUCGGAGCGGCUUAUCCCGGCGUACCGGUCGUUCCUGUCGCGACCGAGGCCGCAGACGGGAUCGUCCAGCGGCAGCCGGCACUCGGCGUCGAAGCACGUGAAGUACACCCUUGAGGAUCUCGAGGACUACAUGCUGGACUUCUUCGAAGGCGUGCAGAAGUUCGUCAAGUGA
rnacentral:rRNA from 1 species